rnacentral:rRNA from 2 species
ACUUUCAGCAAUGGAUCUCUUGGUUCUCGCAUCGAUGAAGAACGCAGUGAAAUGCGAUAACUGGUGUGAAUUGCAUCCAAGUAACUCUAAUUUACGAAUAACACCAAGUGAAUCAUCGAGUCUUUGAACGCAAUUGCGCCCUCUCGGUCGCUUCCAA